rnacentral:rRNA from 1 species
UACGAGGGGGCAAGCGUUGUUCGGAAUUAUUGGGUCGUAAAGGGCGCGUAGGCGGUUUGACAAGUCUGAUGUGAAAUCUAUGGGCUCAACCCAUAGCCUGCAUUAGAAACUGUCGGGCUUGAGUAUGGGAGAGGUGAGUGGAAUUUCCGGUGUAGCGGUGAAAUGCGUAGAUAUCGGAAGGAACACCUGUGGCGAAAGCGGCUCACUGGACCAUAACUGACGCUGAGGCACGAAAGCGUGGGUAGCAAACAGG